AUUGAACGCUGGCGGCAGGCCUAACACAUGCAAGUCGAGCGGAUGAAGGGAGCUUGCUCUUGGAUUCAGCGGCGGACGGGUGAGUAAUGCCUAGGAAUCUGCCUGGUAGUGGGGGAUAACGUCCGGAAACGGGCGCUAAUACCGCAUACGUCCUGAGGGAGAAAGUGGGGGAUCUUCGGACCCCACGCUAUCAGAUGAGCCUAGGUCGGAUUAGCUAGUUGGUGGGGUAAAGGCCUACCAAGGCGACGAUCCGUAACUGGUCUGAGAGGAUGAUCAGUCACACUGGAACUGAGACACGGUCCAGACUCCUACGGGAGGCAGCAGUGGGGAAUAUUGGACAAUGGGCGAAAGCCUGAUCCAGCCAUGCCGCGUGUGUGAAGAAGGUCUUCGGAUUGUAAAGCACUUUAAGUUGGGAGGAAGGGCAGUAAGUUAAUACCUUGCUGUUUUGACGUUACCAACAGAAUAAGCACCGGCUAACUUCGUG
rnacentral:rRNA from 1 species